GCCCCCGUAGUUCAAUGGAUAGAAUAGCUCACUCCUAACGAGCUGAUGCAGGUUCGAUUCCCGCCGAGGGCA
rnacentral:tRNA from 1 species